AUCUGUUUAAAGAUUAGACUGUGCAUAAGUAAUAUGGAAGACAAGAGCUUUUUGUUUCACUGAUCGGUGUAGUGAUUAGAGCUGUGUUCUUAGGAUUUUCUGGAAAUGAUCAGAUUUCUGGAAGGGUAGAAGUUGUUUGAUUUGGUUAAGAGAAUUGUGAGGUUUCGAUGGAGCAAGCGUUGGACGGAGAGGACCCAGCUGUUUAGACUAGGAUCGAUCGAUCACGUGGAGAUUUUGUUUGGACCGAUCGGUUGUGUUUAUAGUUUUGUUUCUUAG